GAGGAGGUGCCGGAAAGCAGCCUGCAAAUUACUAAUUCCUCGCUUAGCAGUGAAGCAUGCCAGGGUUAGCGGAAAGGCAUGGGAUGAGAGACAGCUUUUCAACCAAUCUGCAGAAGAGCCACCUUGGCGGCUGAACCCGAUGUUUUUUGCAGCUGAAGGCACCUGGGGACUGGCGCGGACGGAGGGGUUUGUGCCCCCGCGCUCUGCCGAGCCCAACACUGUGACUGCAAAUGCAACUGCAACUUGUCAGAUGUCUAAACUCUGCUUAAAAGCAUUAAUUAUCAGCUAGCACAUUGUAUUAGAUUCAAGUGGGUUAUUAGCAUAGCGUCUGGGUGGGAAUCGUCUAUUAAUUAAAGCAAUUUGACAUCAUUUUUA